AGUGAACGCUGGCGGUAGGCCUAACACAUGCAAGUCGAACGGCAGCACAGUAAGAGCUAGCUCUUACUGUUGGCGAGUGGCGGACGGGUGAGGCAUACAUCGGAAUCUACUUUUUCGUGGGGGAUAACGUAGGAAAACUUACGCUAAUACCUCAUACGACCUACGGGUGAAAGCAGGGGAUCUUCGCACCUUGCGCGAUUGUAUUAGCCGAUGUCGGAUUAGCUAGUUGGCUGGGUAAAGGCCCACCAAGGCGACGAUCCGUAGCUGGUCUGAGAGGAUGAUCAGCCACACUGGAACUGAGACACGGUCCAGACUCCUACGGGAGGCAGCAGUGGGGAAUAUUGGACAAUGGGCGAAAGCCUGAUCCAGCAAUACCGCGUGAGUGAAGAAGGCCUUCGGGUUGUAAAGCUCUGUUGUUGGGAAAGAAAAGAAGUAGGUGAAUACCCCGCUGUUCUGACGGUACCAAAAGAAUAAGCACCGGCUAACUUCGUG
rnacentral:rRNA from 1 species